rnacentral:tRNA from 2 species
UAGCUCAGUUGGUAGAGCAGUUGGCUUUUAACCAAUUGGUCGCUGGUUCGAAUCC